GGGUUCGUAGCUUAAUUGGAAAAGCACCAAUCUGGCUGAUUGGGAGAUAUCGGUUCAAAUUCGAUCGUAUCCACCA
rnacentral:tRNA from 1 species